UACGUAGGGGGCUAGCGUUGUCCGGAUUUAUUGGGCGUAAAGAGCGUGUAGGCGGCCAGGUAGGUCCGCUGUGAAAGUCCGAGGCUUAACCUCGAGCUGUCGGCGGAAACCAUCUGGCUAGAGUCCGGAAGAGGAGAAUGGAAUUCCCGGUGUAGCGGUGAAAUGCGCAGAUAUCGGGAAGAACACCCGUGGCGAAGGCGGUUCUCUGGGACGGUACUGACGCUGAGACGCGAAAGCGUGGGGAGCGAACAGG
rnacentral:rRNA from 1 species